GCGACACUAGCUCAUCCGGAUAGAGCAGCGGCCUUCUAAGCCGCAGGUGGUGGGUUCGAGUCCCGCGUGUCGCA
rnacentral:tRNA from 1 species